rnacentral:lncRNA from 1 species
UUUUCUAUAUAUUGUUCUUGUUCUUGUAUUAUUGUUCUUGUUCUUAUAUUAUUUCAUAACAGUAUUUGAAUAUAAAAUUUAAACUACAUGGAGUAGUAGAAAAUAACAAUGAGUAAGAGAACCGGAACUAUAAACUAGGUCUAGAAAGCACUGAGCAAAGUCUUUCAGUCUUUCUUUGACAAAACCCCUAAAGCGCGCACCACGCGCACACACGCACACAAACGCCAUAUUCAUGAAAGUUCAUGUAUUGUGAUUGCACAUAACAAACACUAGCCUC